UACGGGGGGAGCAAGCGUUGUCCGGAAUUAUUGGGCGUAAAGAGCUCGUAGGCGGUCUGUCGCGUCUGCUGUGAAAACUCAGGGCUUAACCCUGAGCUUGCAGUGGGUACGGGCAGACUAGAGUGCGGUAGGGGAGACUGGAAUUCCUGGUGUAGCGGUGAAAUGCGCAGAUAUCAGGAGGAACACCGGUGGCGAAGGCGGGUCUCUGGGCCGUAACUGACGCUGAGGAGCGAAAGCAUGGGGAGCGAACAGG
rnacentral:rRNA from 1 species